rfam:Tncultured Sphingobacteria bacterium, whole genome shotgun sequence.
ACUCAACAGUUAUUUUUUAUAAAGAGUGACUCUAAGUUGUAAAAGCACGCCGUUACUAGACUUGUUCUAGGUAGACGGAACCUUGAUCAGCUUUAUAGCUCUAAUCCUUACUAUUAGGAGUUU